rnacentral:lncRNA from 1 species
UUUACUGAGGCAAAUUCAGCGUUAAUUAGGCGCAUUCAAAGCAUUUUAUCUCAAGAGAAACAGUGGUGCUUGCGGUACAUUCUGAGAGAUCAAAAUCAAAUUGUAGACUGUCUUGCUAAACAAGCCUUGUCUGGAUCUGGUAAUUUGCAAGUGUUCGAUGAUCCUCAUCCGAUGACACACACGUUAGUGGAUUUGGAUAAG